GUAACGCGUGGGAACAUACCCUAAAGUGAGGGAUAACUACUCGAAAGAGUGGCUAAUACCGCAUAUGAUCUUCGGAUUAAAGCAUUUAUGCGCUUUAGGAAUGGCCUGCGUACGAUUAGAUAGUUGGUGAGGUAAAGGCUCACCAAGUCGACGAUCGUUAGAUGGUUUGAGAGGAUGAUCAUCCAGACUGGGACUGAGACACGGCCCAGACUCCUACGGGAGGCAGCAGUAGGGAAUCUUUCACAAUGGGCGAAAGCCUGAUGGAGCAACGCCGCGUGCAGGAUGAAGGCCUUCGGGUUGUAAACUGCUUUUAUAAGCGAGAAAUAUGAUGGUAACUUAUGAAUAAGGAUCGGCUAACUACGUG
rnacentral:rRNA from 1 species